CCAGACUCCUACGGGAGGCAGCAGUGGGGAAUAUUGGGCAAUGGGCGCAAGCCUGACCCAGCAACGCCGCGUGAAGGAAGAAGGCUUUCGGGUUGUAAACUUCUUUUCUGAGGGACGAUAGUGACGGUACCUCAGGAAUAAGCCACGGCUAACUACGUGCCAGCAGCCGCGGUAAUACGUAGGUGGCAAGCGUUAUCCGGAUUUAUUGGGUUUAAAGGGUGCGUAGGCGGACUGUCAAGUCAGCGGUAAAAUGCGGGCCCCCCCCCCCCCCCCGCCGUUGAAACUGACGGUCUUGAGUGGGCGAGAAGUAUGCGGAAUGCGUGGUGUAGCGGUGAAAUGCAUAGAUAUCAUGCAGAACUCCGAUUGCGAAGGCAGCAUACCGGCGCCCAACUGACGCUGAAGCACGAAAGCGUGGGUAUCGAACAGGAUUAGAUACCCGGGUA
rnacentral:rRNA from 1 species